rnacentral:rRNA from 1 species
GGUGCGAGCGUUAAUCGGAAUUACUGGGCGUAAAGCGUGCGCAGGCGGUUAUAUAAGACAGUUGCGAAAUCCCCGGGCUUAACCUGGGAAUGGCGCUUGUGACUGCACGACUGGAGUGCGGCAGAGGGGGAUGGAAUUCCGCGUGUAGCAGUGAAAUGCGUAGAUAUGCGGAGGAACACCGAUGGCGAAGGCAGUCCCCUGGGCCUGCACUGACGCUCAUGCACGAAAGCGUGGGGAGCAAACAGGAUUAGAUACCCUGGUAGUCAAGGGCG